CGCCUCUUGCAAAAUUUACAAAUAAGAGGUCCCGCCUGCCCUGUGACUAUAUGUUUAACGGCCGCGGUAUUUUGACCGUGCAAAGGUAGCGCAAUCACUUGUCUUUUAAAUGGAGACCCGUAUGAAUGGCAUAACGAGGGCUUAACUGUCUCUUCUUUCAAGUCAAUGAAAUUGAUCCCCCCGUGCAGAAGCGGGGAUGCGCACAUAAGACGAGAAGACCCUGUGGAGCUUUAGGCACUAAAGCAGAAUAUGUAAAGUACCCCAAAUUAAAGACUAAAACAGCUUAUGACCUGCCCUAAUGCCUUCGGUUGGGGCGACCGCGGGGAAAUAAAAAACCCCCAUGUAGAACGGGAGCACUGCUCCUACAACUUAGAGCCCCCGCUCUAAUUAACAGAACCUCUGACUAAUAAGAUCCGGCAAUGCCGAUCAACGGACCAAGUUACCCCAGGGAUAACAGCGCAAUCCCCUUUUAGAGCCCAUAUCGACAAGGGGGUUUACGACCUCGAUGUUGGAUCAGGACAUCCUAAUGGUGCAGCCGCUAUUAAGGGUUCGUUUGUUCAACGAUUAAAGUCCU
rnacentral:rRNA from 1 species